UACACAUCCUCCACUUCCCGUUCGACUUUUUCACCAUAACCACAUUAGAUAACCAUGUGGUAUACUUAGCUUCUCGAAUAAAACCUGCUUCUAACAAUUUACUAACUUCGUCAUUCACCGCUCUUCUCUUCUCCUCACCCAAUCUUCUCUUCUUCUGGGACACCGGCCGGGCAUCCUUAAAGAGUGAAAGUUUAUGAGAUAU
rnacentral:lncRNA from 1 species